GAUGAACGCUGGCGGCGUGCCUAAUACAUGCAAGUCGAGCGAACAGAUGAGGAGCUUGCUCCUCUGACGUUAGCGGCGGACGGGUGAGUAACACGUGGAUAACCUACCUAUAAGACUGGGAUAACUUCGGGAAACCGGAGCUAAUACCGGAUAAUAUAUUGAACCGCAUGGUUCAAUAGUUAAAGACGGUUUUGCUGUCACUUAUAGAUGGAUCCGCGCCGCAUUAGCUAGUUGGUAAGGUAACGGCUUACCAAGGCAACGAUGCGUAGCCGACCUGAGGGGGUGAUCGGCCACACUGGAACUGAGACACGGUCCAGACUCCUACGGGAGGCAGCAGUAGGGAAUCUUCCGCAAUGGGCGGAAGCCUGACGGAGCAACGGCGCGGGAGUGAAGAAGGUCUUCGGAUCGUAAAACUCUGUUAUUAGGGAAGAACAAAUGUGUAAGUAACUAUGCACGGCUUGACGGUACCUAAUCAGAAAGCCACGGCUAACUACGUG
rnacentral:rRNA from 1 species